rnacentral:rRNA from 1 species
UAUUUCCUACGGGGCGCAGCAGUGGGGAAUAUUGCACAAUGGGGGAAACCCUGAUGCAGCGACGCCGCGUGAGUGAAGAAGUAUUUCGGUAUGUAAAGCUCUAUCAGCAGGGAAGAAAAUGACGGUACCUGACUAAGAAGCCCCGGCUAACUACGUGCCAGCAGCCGCGGUAAUACGCAGGGGGCAAGCGUUAUCCGGAUUCACUGGGCGUAAAGGGAGCGCAGGCGGCACGGCAAGUCUGGUGUGAAAGCCCGGGGCCCAACCCCGGGACUGCAUUGGAAACUGCCGGGCUGGAGUGCCGGAGG